UACGGAGGGUGCAAGCGUUAUCCGGAUUCACUGGGUUUAAAGGGUGCGUAGGUGGGGCUGUAAGUCAGUGGUGAAAUCUCGAAGCUUAACUUGGAAACUGCCGUUGAUACUAUAGCUCUUGAAUGUUGUGGAGGUGAGCGGAAUAUGUCAUGUAGCGGUGAAAUGCUUAGAUAUGACAUAGAACACCAAUUGCGAAGGCAGCUCACUACACAAAUAUUGACGCUGAGGCACGAAAGCGUGGGGAUCAAACAGG
rnacentral:rRNA from 1 species